rnacentral:rRNA from 1 species
AUGUAUAGCGGCAAUUCACUUAGGAGUACAAUUGCAGUGGGUAAUGACAAGAAGCGACAGCGGGUCUACAACACUAUGUUUCAUGUGCCUUGGAGAUGUGAAUGGCAGGAUUCUUUGUCUGCUUUGGAUUCCUUUCUGUCUUUGCUCACCAUUAUACCUGCAAGAAUUGUGAUGACAGUUUGGCGAGUGCUGAACACUAGAGGAGCUCCCAACUCACGCCCUAGAGUGCGAGGAGGAAGCAGGGGGUGGUGGCCUGGCAUGGAACGCGUCAAAAUCCCUUGCCGCGCGGGGCGCAGAAAUGGGAGAGGAUGCCGGUAG